UAACAAGGACGUGGUUUGAUGG
rnacentral:siRNA from 1 species